rnacentral:rRNA from 1 species
UUCGGAUGGAAUCGAUAAGUUCUAGCGGCGGACGGGUGAGUAACGCGUGAGCAACCUGCCCUCCACAGGGGGAUAACGCACCGAAAGGUGCACUAAUACCGCAUGAGACCACGUUUCUGACAUGGGGAUGAGGUCAAAGGAGCAAUCCGGUGGAAGAUGGGCUCGCGUCUGAUUAGCUAGUUGGUGAGGUAACGGCCCACCAAGGCGACGAUCAGUAGCCGACCUGAGAGGGUGAUCGGCCACAUUGGAACUGAGAGACGGUCCAAACUCC